GACGAACGCUGGCGGCGUGCCUAAUACAUGCAAGUAGAACGCUGAAGGAGGAGCUUGCUUCUCUGGAUGAGUUGCGAACGGGUGAGUAACGCGUAGGUAACCUGCCUGGUAGCGGGGGAUAACUAUUGGAAACGAUAGCUAAUACCGCAUAAGAGUAGAUGUUGCAUGACAUUUACUUAAAAGGUGCAAUUGCAUCACUACCAGAUGGACCUGCGUUGUAUUAGCUAGUUGGUGAGGUAACGGCUCACCAAGGCAACGAUACAUAGCCGACCUGAGAGGGUGAUCGGCCACACUGGGACUGAGACACGGCCCAGACUCCUACGGGAGGCAGCAGUAGGGAAUCUUCGGCAAUGGACGGAAGUCUGACCGAGCAACGCCGCGUGAGUGAAGAAGGUUUUCGGAUCGUAAAGCUCUGUUGUAAGAGAAGAACGAGUGUGAGAGUGGAAAGUUCACACUGUGACGGUAUCUUACCAGAAAGGGACGGCUAACUACGUG
rnacentral:rRNA from 1 species